rnacentral:rRNA from 1 species
AUUGAACGCUGGCGGCAGGCCUAACACAUGCAAGUCGAACGAGUGGCGGACGUGUGAGUUAUGACUGGGAAACUGCCCGAUGGAGGGGGUUAAGUACUGGAAACGGUAGCUAAUUCCGCAUACCAGAGGAUGUGUCCAGGUGGGAUGAGCUAGGUGGUGGGGUAACGGCUCACCAAGGCGACGAUCCGUAGCUGGUCUGAGAGGAUGAUCAGCCACACUGGAACUGAGACACGGUCCAGACUCCUACGGGAGGCAGCAGUGGGGAAUAUUGGACAAUGGGCGCAAGCCUGAUACAGCCAUGCCGCGUGUGUGAAGAAGGCCUUCGGAUUGUAAAGUACUUUCAGCUAGGAGGCGUUACCCACAGAAGAAGCACCGGCUAACUCCGUGCCAGCAGCCGCGGUAAUUC